GACGAACCGUGCGAACGUUGUUCGGAAUCACUGGGCUUAAAGGGUGCGUAGGCGGGCUGCCAAGUUCGGGGUGAAAUCCUCCGGCUCAACCGGAGAACUGCCUCGAAUACUGGCGGUCUCGAGGGGGGUAGGGGCAUGCGGAACUAUGGGUGGAGCGGUGAAAUGCGUUGAUAUCCAUAGGAACUCCGGUGGCGAAAGCGGCGUGCUGGACCCCUUCUGACGCUGAGGCACGAAAGCCAGGGGAGCAAACGGG
rnacentral:rRNA from 1 species